rnacentral:rRNA from 1 species
UACGUAGGGGGCAAGCGUUGUCCGGAUUUAUUGGGCGUAAAGAGCGUGUAGGCGGCCUGACAGGUCUGCUGUGAAAACUCGAGGCUCAACCUCGAGAUGUCGGCGGAAACCGUCUGGCUAGAGUCCGGAAGAGGAGAGUGGAAUUCCUGGUAUAGCGGUGAAAUGCGCAGAUAUCAGGAAGAACACCUAUGGCGAAGGCGGGUCUCUGGGCCGAUACUGACGCUGAGGAGCGAAAGCGUGGGGAGCGAACAGG